rnacentral:rRNA from 1 species
UACGUAGGGCGCAAGCGUUAUCCGGAAUUAUUGGGCGUAAAGAGCUCGUAGGCGGUUUGGUAAGUCUGGUGUGAAAUCUCCACGCUCAACGUGGAGGGCCACCGAUACUGCCAUGACUGGAGUCCGGUAGAGGAGUGUGGAAUUCCCGGUGUAGCGGUGAAAUGCGCAGAGUAUCGGGAGGAACACCUGUGGCGAAGGCGGCCACCUGGGCCGACCCUGACGCUGAGGCGCGAAGGCGUGGGAGCGAACGGGAUAGAAACCCGUUGUACUCCGAGGACCAA